rnacentral:rRNA from 1 species
UACGUAGGGUGCGAGCGUUAAUCGGAAUUACUGGGCGUAAAGCGUGCGUAGGCGGUUCUCCAAGUCCGUUGUGAAAGCCCCGGGCUCAACCUGGGAAUGGCAGUGGAAACUAGGGGACUGGAAUCUGGCAGAGGGGGGGUGGAAUGCCGCGUGUAGCAGUGAAAUGCGUAGAGAUGCGGCGGAACACCGAUGGCGAAGGCAGCCCCCUGGGCUGAGAUUGACGCUCAGGCACGAAAGCGUGGGGAGCAAACAGG